GCUUAACACAUGCAAGUCGAGGGGCAGCAUGGUCUUAGCUUGCUAAGGCCGAUGGCGACCGGCGCACGGGUGAGUAACACGUAUCCAACCUGCCGUCUACUCUUGGACAGCCUUCUGAAAGGAAGAUUAAUACAAGAUGGCAUCAUGAGUCCGCAUGUUCACAUGAUUAAAGGUAUUCCGGUAGACGAUGGGGAUGCGUUCCAUUAGAUAGUAGGCGGGGUAACGGCCCACCUAGUCUUCGAUGGGUAGGGGUUCUGAGAGGAAGGUCCCCCACAUUGGAACUGAGACACGGUCCAAACUCCUACGGGAGGCAGCAGUGAGGAAUAUUGGUCAAUGGGCGAGAGCCUGAACCAGCCAAGUAGCGUGAAGGAUGACUGCCCUAUGGGUUGUAAACUUCUUUUAUAAAGGAAUAAAGUCGGGUAUGCAUACCCGUUUGCAUGUACUUUAUGAAUAAGGAUCGGCUAACUCCGUGCCAGCAGCCGCGGUAAUACGGAGGAUCCGAGCGUUAUCCGGAUUUAUUGGGUUUAAAGGGAGCGUAGAUGGAUGUUUAAGUCAGUUGUGAAAGUUUGCGGCUCAACCGUAAAAUUGCAGUUGAUACUGGAUAUCUUGAGUGCAGUUGAGGCAGGCGGAAUUCGUGGUGUAGCGGUGAAAUGCUUAGAUAUCACGAAGAACUCCGAUUGCGAAGGCAGCCUGCUAAGCUGCAACUGACAUUGAGGCUCGAAAGUGUGGGUAUCAAACAGGAUUAGAUACCCUGGUAGUCCACACGGUAAACGAUGAAUACUCGCUGUUUGCGAUAUACGGCAAGCGGCCAAGCGAAAGCGUUAAGUAUUCCACCUGGGGAGUACGCCGGCAACGGUGAAACUCAAAGGAAUUGACGGGGGCCCGCACAAGCGGAGGAACAUGUGGUUUAAUUCGAUGAUACGCGAGGAACCUUACCCGGGCUUAAAUUGCAGAUGAAUUACGGUGAAAGCCGUAAGCCGCAAGGCAUCUGUGAAGGUGCUGCAUGGUUGUCGUCAGCUCGUGCCGUGAGGUGUCGGCUUAAGUGCCAUAACGAGCGCAACCCUUGUUGUCAGUUACUAACAGGUUCCGCUGAGGACUCUGACAAGACUGCCAUCGUAAGAUGUGAGGAAGGUGGGGAUGACGUCAAAUCAGCACGGCCCUUACGUCCGGGGCUACACACGUGUUACAAUGGGGGGUACAGAGGGCCGCUACCACGCGAGUGGAUGCCAAUCCCAAAAACCUCUCUCAGUUCGGACUGGAGUCUGCAACCCGACUCCACGAAGCUGGAUUCGCUAGUAAUCGCGCAUCAGCCACGGCGCGGUGAAUACGUUCCCGGGCCUUGUACACACCGCCCGUCAAGCCAUGGGAGCCGGGGGUACCUGAAGUGCGUAACCGCGAGGAGCGCCCUAGGGUAAAACUGGUGACUGGGGCUAAGU
rnacentral:rRNA from 1 species